CUUUUUUUUUUAAACUAAGCUUUAGUUCUAAGGAGUGUGAAUUAAAAAAUGAAGAGUUACUAUUGACUGCAUGACUUCUGUUUUCUGUUUUUUUAUAUUAGGUGCUAAUCAAGUUCCAGCUAAUUCCUCUCAUCAGUUUGCCAAAUCAUAACCUAAAAAUAUAUUCUGAACAAAGUGACCAAAAUAAAACAUGGAGAAUGAAAUGUAUGCUUAGAAAAAAUAGGAGGAGGCAUCUACUUCUUGAUUUGAAAACAUACAUUGACUUCCAUGAACACAGAAGAGAAUGAUAAGUGCCUAAGGACCAGCUUUCUGGGAAAAUGGACAAGGUACCAAGUACAAGACAAUGCAUGUGCUUAAUAAACGCUUGUAGGACUGAACUAAACUGAACUGA
rnacentral:lncRNA from 1 species